rnacentral:rRNA from 1 species
UACGUAGGGAGCAAGCGUUGUUCGGAUUUACUGGGCGUAAAGGGCGCGUAGGCGGUUCGGUAAGUCCGGGGUGAAAUCCCUCGGCUCAACUGAGGAACUGCACGGGAGACUGCCGGGCUUGAGUUCGGGAGAGGGAAGCGGAAUUCCGGGUGUAGCGGUGAAAUGCGUAGAUAUCCGGAGGAACACCGGUGGCGAAGGCGGCUUCCUGGACCGACACUGACGCUGAGGCGCGAAAGCUAGGGGAGCAAACGGG